CUCCUUUCCUCGAGCUCAGACGGAGCCGAAGUCGUGCAGCGCAUCGCCGAGCCCUGCGCCGGCCACCCCUCACCGUCCUGCCGCCGAUUUGCUGCGCCCUAGGCCGCCUCGCUUCGCCCCGCACCUGCUCCACUCCUUCUAGAGCCGGGCCGAGCCCCUGCUCGUGCGCCAGAGGCGCCGCCGCACGCCAUCAGCGCCGUCGCGCCCCUGCUUCCGUGGAGACCCCCUCUCCGGCCGCCCCCAACCUCGUCCGAACCCACCAAUGGGUAGCUCUCGACCUCCUCGUGCUCAUCCACCCCUCCAUCGCCGCCGGUGAGCACCCCACGGCCGGAAUAGGCUCAGUCACCAACCGCCACCAUUGGAGCCGCCCGGAGCUCCUGCUCCCCGUCGACCCUCCCCUCCAGACCACCUCCGCUCGAGCCGAGCCCCGGAACGGGUCCCUCUCGGCCCACUGAAGGUCCCCAACCCGUCCCUGCUCGCCCAGCCUCGCCGGACCGCCGCCCCACGCCGCCACCGCCGCCGCCAAGCUCCUGCUCCCGCCGAGGGCCCUCCUCCGGCCACCCCGGCGUCAACCGAGACCACCCGCAGGUACGCUAGAUGUACGACGCGUGGAGCUAAAGGAUAAAGUCGGAGCCGAACCCGAAGAUGAUGUUUGGUUGACAUAUCCAGAAGAUGGAUGGAUGGAUCCCGAUGUGCACGACCGAAGGCAGGUGCUCGUCAAGCGAGUGUCAUCUAACCAACACUAACUAAUUCAGUGUUAAUCCCAGGCAAGCCCCGGAGCAUAACCCUUAACUUUAGUA